rnacentral:rRNA from 1 species
UACAGAGGGUGCAAGCGUUGUUCGGAAUUAUUGGGCGUAAAAGGCGCGUAGGCGGUUCGGCAAGUCUCUAGUGAAAUCUCAGGGCUCAACUCCGAGUCUGCUGGGGAAACUGCCGGGCUUGAGUGUGGGAGAGGAGAGUGGAAUUCCUGGUGUAGCGGUGGAAUGCGCAGAUAUCAGGAGGAACACCGAUGGCGAAGGCAGCUCGCUGGGACGGUACUGACGCUGAGGCGCGAAAGCGUGGGGAGCGAACAGG